rnacentral:lncRNA from 1 species
UAGAAGUCGGUUUUAUUAGUUUAAACUCUUUUAUAUUUAGAAAUAUGGAAGGUUCUCCUUGUCGGAAGUUUUCUAUUUCUUGGAAGGGAGUAGGGUCCAGGGACCGAGCCCAGGGUUCCCUCUGAGGGGGACUCGGGGAACCCGUUUACUAGGGAUCCGGGGAUCUGAGUCCUGCCUGGAGGCUGGGAGAAAUAAUACCGG